AGUGAGGCCAUGGGGUUAGUCCUGAACUUGUCUAGUUGCCCAGUGUCUGCAGAGAGGAUGUGGAUGAGCAGCCCGUCCAGGAAGGCAGAGAAAUGGCCCCAAAGGAAGUGGGGUUCCUUCCAUCAUCGCCUGCAUCUGCUCUGCUUGGUCUGUCAGGACCGUACGUUCAGCUGAUACGGCCGUGGGGCUGCUCUCACUCGUGGUGCUCUGCAGUUGUCUGUCUGGUACCCAGCGAUCAAGCUAUUGCACUGACUGCGGUAGCAGUCAACAAAUCAUUCAAUCUGUGGCUGCCAGCUACCAGUGCCUUUUUGCAUGUGAUCCAUUGGCCUCUCAGGAUCUGCAGACCAGUUCCCUGGGAUUUGCAGCUAAGUGAUCGUUUCUGUUAA
rnacentral:lncRNA from 1 species